GAUGAACGCUGGCGGCGUGCCUAAUACAUGCAAGUCGAGCGAACAGACGAGGAGCUUGCUCCUCUGACGUUAGCGGCGGACGGGUGAGUAACACGUGGAUAACCUACCUAUAAGACUGGGAUAACUUCGGGAAACCGGAGCUAAUACCGGAUAAUAUAUUGAACCGCAUGGUUCAAUAGUGAAAGACGGUUUUGCUGUCACUUAUUGAUGGAUCCGCGCCGCAUUAGCUAGUUGGUAAGGUAACGGCUUACCAAGGCAACGAUGCGUAGCCGACCUGAGAGGGUGAUCGCCCACACUGGAACGGAGACACGGUCCAGCCUCCUACGGGAGGCAGCAGUAGGGAAUCUUCCGCAAUGGGCGAAAGCCUGACGGAGCAACGCCGCGUGAGUGAUGAAGGUCUUCGGAUCGUAAAACUCUGUUAUUAGGGAAGAACAAAUGUGUAAGUAACUAUGCACGUCUUGACGGUACCUAAUCAGAAAGCCACGGCUAACUACGUG
rnacentral:rRNA from 1 species